rnacentral:rRNA from 1 species
AACGAACGCUGGCGGCAUGCCUAACACAUGCAAGUCGAACGAGACCUUCGGGUCUAGUGGCGUACGGGUGCGUAACGCGUGGGAACCUGCACUUAGGUUCGGAAUAACUCCACGAAAGGGGUGCUAAUACCGGAUAAUGUCUUCGGACCAAAGAUUUAUCGACUUUGGAUGGGCCCUCGUUGGAUUAGCUAGUUGGUAGGGUAAAAGCCUAACAAGGCGACGAUCCAUAGCUGGUCUGAGAGGAUGAUCAGCCACACUGGGACUGAGACACGGCCCAGACUCCUACGGGAGGCAGCAGUGGGGAAUAUUGGACAAUGGGCGAAAGCCUGAUCCAGCAAUGCCGCGUGAGUGAUGAAGUCCUUAGGGUUGUAACGCUCUUUUACCCGGGAUGAUAAUGACAGUACCGGGAGAAUAAGCUCCGGCUAACUCCGUG